rnacentral:rRNA from 1 species
UACGUAGGGGGGCAAGCGUUUGUCCGGAAUCAUUGGGCGUAAAGAGCGUGUAGGCGGCUCGAUAAGUCUGCUGUGAAAGUCCAGGGCUCAACCCUGGAAGGCCGGUGGAAACUGUCGGGCUAGAGUCCGGAAGAGGCGAGUGGAAUUCCCGGUGUAGCGGUGAAAUGCGCAGAUAUCGGGAGGAACACCAAUGGCGAAGGCAGCUCGCUGGGACGGUACUGACGCUGAGGCGCGAAAGCGUGGGGAGCGAACAGG